UAUGUAGGACUCAGUAUAGAGUCCAUGCACUAUAUGAUGUCCAGCACCCUAUAUAGAGUCCAUUGGUCCAAAAUCCACUAUACAGAGUCCAGGAGUCCACUCAGUUUUGAUCAGCUUCAUCCUGCCGCGCAAUCCCCUAUAAGGAGUACACUUUUUCUACAAGUCUCCUAUUCACAGUCCAGGAGUCCAGUUUAUCCAGUCACGCCGUCCUGUGUGUUGUGCCCGAAAGAGAACAAACACAUUUUCAGUUUUGCUUGCCUCGUGGCAGCGCAUUCCUUUCUUCACUUCAGCCAUGGCUGCCAGUUCUGCUGUGCAGUUGCUGACAGUAAUCUGUCUCGAGGUAACCAAGGAGGAUAAGGAGACGUUCAAAAUCAAAUCUGGAAAGCGUCUUGUGGUUCUCUGAAGACGUUUCAUCAGUGCGCGGGAUGAAAGCAGAAAUUGCAGAACGAGAAAAAGUUCAGCACAGUUCAAAUCUGACGAGUCAGGUACACUGACACUCUCUUUCGUUCGACGCCACAAGGAUCCCCUGUUUGGCUGGCCAUUGCUGCCAGUAAGACGUUUGAACGGUUUCAUCAGAGCGAGGGAUGAAAGCAGAAAGCGGUGAAAGAGAAAGGUUCAGCACAGUUCCAAUCUGACGAGUCAGAUACACUGACAUUCUCUUUCGUUCGACGCCACAAGGAUACCCCUGUUUGACUGGACAAGAGCUGCCUGUACCACCGUGUCAAAAGGCUGUCCAACUACAUGGCAGGACGAUGACUGAGGUGUGCUGAUCUUCAGAAGCUUGCGGAACUGAGUGCUGCUGAACAUUUGCAUGGCCAUGAGCAAUGGUGAAGCUUGCUAUUGCACUCUCAGCAUGUGCUAGUAUUAUGCUGACCACUGCACUAUGUUACUCUCUUACACUACUACGUGUAUGUAAACGUGCGUGUACCCGUCCCCGUACGCAUUCGUUUCGUAUAAUUAUUUGUUAUCCCUCUUGACUUUACGUGUAAAUGGGUGGACGUUUGCAUGGCUGUUGGAGUUGCGUGUGUAUUGUGUCUCUACUCUUUUCUUGGUGUUUUCUUGGCGUUGUAUAAGUUUGUGUGUGUGUGUGUGUGUGUGUGUGUGUGCGUGCGCGCGCGCAAUAGUUUGAAAACAAAUAAUUAAUCCUGGGCUCUCCAUUAUUCUCUUUCGAUUCUUGUUUUUUUUCUAGGUAUUUUCUUGGCGUUGUGUGGGUGUGUGCAUGUGUGUGUGUGCGUGCACAAUAAUUUGGCAACACUGCAUGAUUGAGAUAUUGUAAUUUGCAGCGUC